GAUACCAAAGCAGAAUGAUUCCAGGACUCCCUGCCUUCUGACACCCACGCCUUGAUUGUACUGAUCGGGGAAAGAAGUGGAGAGAAGAUCGGGGAAACAUAAAUUGUUUGGGAAGUUGAAAUCUAACUGCAUGAGAAAUGACAGGAAGUGAGCAAGAGGAGGUCCACGGAUCCUCUGGAAGCCAUCCAUGGACUCUGGGAGACCUGCUGGCUGGCUUCUUAAGGCUACUCAGAGAAUAUUUCUUCUACAUGGACCCCAAAUUUGUGCUUAACACGUGGGAGGUGUCAGAGUGGAAGCUGAGCGGAAGGGCAAUGCGGAAAAUGUUCAGGGCUUCUCUCUUUCACACCCUUCCAGG
rnacentral:lncRNA from 1 species